AGAUAUUGGUGUUGGAAAUUUAGCAUUGAAAUUGAAGUAAGAAGCCACUUAACACUUGAUUGAAUUAUCUUGCAUUUCUUUCAAUUGAUAAGUAUGAUUGAUUUCAUCUUUCUUGUAUUUUUUUCUAAAUAAGACAUUAAAAAUUAAGUAAGUUUUGAAUUGAUGUUAAAAAUUUGAUCAUUAGUUUUUGAGAUUUCAUUUUGCUAUUAGAUUUAUUAAGAGUAUAUUUAAGGUCUAGGAUUUGAUUAGGAUUUGAUUUAAGAUUAAAAUUUGCUUAAGAUUUGAUUUAGAACUUUUUUAGAAUUAGGAUUUUUUUAGAAUUUGAUUUAGAAUUUUUUUAGGAUUUUAUUAUAGUUUAAGGUUUUAUUGAAAUUAGAUUAAGAUUUGACCUAAGAUUUGGUUAAGAUUCAAUUAGGGUUUCAAUUAAUAUUUGAUCUAGAAUUUAAUUAAGUUUUAAUUAAGAUUUUAAUUAGGAUUAUAUUAGGAUUUUUAUUUUUAAUAUUUUUUUUAGGAUUAUUUAUAUUUCUUUUAUGACUUUUUUCAAAUUUAUUUUGAUAGAUUAAUUUUGAUUGAAUUAUUAGAGA
rnacentral:lncRNA from 1 species